CCUACGGGUGGCUGCAGUCGAGAAUCAUUCACAAUGGGGGAAACCCUGAUGGUGCGACGCCGCGUGGGGGAAUGAAGGUCUUCGGAUUGUAAACCCCUGUCAUGUGGGAGCAAAUUAAAAAGAUCGUACCACAAGAGGAAGAGACGGCUAACUCUGUGCCAGCAGCCGCGGUAAUACAGAGGUCUCAAGCGUUGUUCGGAAUCACUGGGCGUAAAGCGUGCGUAGGCUGUUUCGUAAGUCGUGUGUGAAAGGCGCGGGCUCAACCCGCGGACGGCACAUGAUACUGCGAGACUAGAGUAAGGGAGGGGGAACCGGAAUUCUCGGUGUAGCAGUGAAAUGCGUAGAUAUCGAGAGGAACACUCGUGGCGAAGGCGGGUUCCUGGACAGUAACUGACGCUGAGGCACGAAGGCCAGGGGAGCGAAAGGGAUUAGAUACCCGUGUAGUC
rnacentral:rRNA from 1 species